UCAAUCAGUAAAAAAAAAAAAAGCAAUACACACAAAAAAUGUCUAAAACGAGUGAAAUCGGAGUUAGCUACAUUGUUUUUUCGUUGAUAUGCUUGUUGAUUCUAAUAGGAAAAACAACGGCUGUUAGAUGUCCCGAAUGUAAGUGUGAAGGAGUCCCAAGCAAACAUGCGCCUCCAGGGCUCUGUAAUAGAGUUGACGGCUUAAGAAGAUGUAAUAUUACUUGCCAACACGAAGGGUGGUCCUGGGCUGAAUGUAUUGUUAGGAAGAACGUAAAAUUUUGCAACUAUAUGCUAAUUCCGAUAUGGGAUAAAACAUACGAUAAACUUCCAUUUAUUUAUUUAUUUACCAUUGUUUAUUUUUAUAUUUAUAUACGUAAUAACGAGUAUAAUAACAAUAUAUUUGAGAUCUAUAUAAAGUUGUGUAUCUAGUUCUUGUGGAUUUUUAUUUUAUUUUAAAAAGAGUUUAUUGUAUCUGAACUUUGAACGUACAUAUCUUUCUUAAAUUUUGGAGGGUCAUAUCAUCAUCAUAACUAUGUUUUUGGAA